rnacentral:misc_RNA from 1 species
GAAGCAGUUGAAGCUUAAUCGCCUGAUUACUUCGAGGCCUUAGAUUGAUGCAGAAAGCGGGUAGAGGCGAUAGGUGAUGUUAAAGUUGUGAAGGAAAUCGGAAAUGGCCGGGAAGACGAUGAGCGACGCGAGCAGUAGCACUAUUGCUGGUACGGAGAGAGGGGAAAGCGUUGUGUAUGACUGUAGAAGACGAAAAUCCUCGUGUGGUUAUUGUAAAUCUGGUUCUCGCGGCAGCAUCACUCACGGUUUAUGGGCUCCAGAUAAUCUUACUGUUGAUGACUACCAAGAUCUCCUUGAUCGUGGCUGGAGAAGAUCUGGCUGCUAUCUCUACAAACCUGAGAUGGAAAGAA